GACGAACGCUGGCGGCGUGCCUAACACAUGCAAGUCGAGCGAUGAAAAUACAAAUGAUUCCUUCGGGGAGAAUGCGUGUUGGAUUAGCGGCGGACGGGUGAGUAACACGUGAGCAACCUGCCUAUCACAUCGGGAUAGCCUCGGGAAACUGGGAUUAAUACCGAAUGAAACAUAGAAUUAGCAUUAAUUCAAUGUCAAAGAUUUAUCGGUGAUAGAUGGGCUCGCGUCUGAUUAGCUAGUUGGUGAGGUAAUGGCUCACCAAGGCGACGAUCAGUAGCCGGCCUGAGAGGGUGAACGGCCACAUUGGGACUGAGACACGGCCCAAACUCCUACGGGAGGCAGCAGUGGGGAAUAUUGCACAAUGGAGGGAACUCUGAUGCAGCGACGCCGCGUGAGCGAUGAAGGCUUUCGAGUCAUAAAGCUCUGUCGAAUGGGAAGAUAAUGACGGUACCAUUUGAGAAAGCCCCGGCUAACUACGUGCCAGCCGCCGCCGUAG
rnacentral:rRNA from 1 species